ACAGAGAGAGAGGGGGGAAACAAUCAGAUUCAAGUGAAAAGAGGUAUGUCCAGGGCAUAUGAUAGCAAAUAAUGGCCCAACAGAGCAUUACACAGAGAAACCCCAUCUCCCACAGAUGUCACAUAAAAGUAUUUCCGAAGAGCAAGCACAUACUAAAAUAAUGUAGUUAUACAUCAAAAUGC